GGGGCGCGCGGGGAAGCCCGGGCAGCCGGCGCCCCAGGCUCCUGGGCCCGGGUUCCCGGAACGCCCUGCCCGCGCCUCCUGCCCUCAGCCUGUCUGUCCCAUGCAAGUUGCACCAACUAAACCAUUUUAUUUAUUCUGGCCUAGAUUCCGCGUUUUCCCAUGAACGUGUUAAGUAGCCUCUGCAAGACUGUUACGGGCUUCCCAUUGGGAGAGAGCACGUAUAUUGGAGACCAGAGGGCCAAAUUCUCAGAGCACACAAGCAUUUAAACUUCUGGGUGGGGAUGCCGAAGGACUUAAUUGGAGACGUUGCAACGAUGGAUGAAGAGCUCAUUUUAUACCCCAGCUAGGAGGAUCUGUCGUUCCUUCGUACUAAGUGCGGGAGGAAAGGACAGCCUGGAUCGGCCUCGCUGGCGCACAAUGAGAAAGCUGCGACCCGCGCACUGAGCCCACUCGCCGCGACCCCGAGCAGCGAGGAGCGAGGGGGAGAGAAAGUUGCGCUCGGAGACUCCCGGCUCGCGGAGGAAGGCGCAGGGCCGCGCCCGCC
rnacentral:lncRNA from 1 species